rnacentral:lncRNA from 1 species
CAAACUAUCGCUGAGGACCUGGUCGUGACCAAGUAUAAGAUGGAGGGUGACAUCGCCAACAGGGGUACUUCGGUCCUUGGUGGAAGCAUCUAGCUCAGGUGUGUCGGUACUGAGCCUGUGUGAGAAAGGUGAUGCCGUGAUUAUGGAAGAAACAGGGAAAAUCUUCAAGAAAGAAAAGGAAAUGAAGAAAGGUAUUGCUUUUCCCACCAGCAUUUCAGUAAAUAACUGUGUAUGUCACUUCUCCCCUUUGAAGAGCAACCAGGAUUAUAUUCUCAAGGAAGGUGACUUGGUAAAAAUUGAACUUGGGGUCCAUGUGGAUGGCUUCAUCGCUAAUGUAGCUCAUACUUUUGUGGUUGAUGUAGCUCAGGGGACCAAGUAACAGGGAGGAAGGCAGAUGUUAUUAAGGCAGCUCACCUUUGUGCUGAAGCUGCCCUACGCCUGGUCAAACCUGGAAAUCAGAACACACAAGUGACACAAGCCUGGAACAAAGUUGCCCACUCAUUUAACUGCACGCCAGUAGAAGGUAUGCUGUCACACCAGUUGAAGCAGCAUGUCAUUGAUGGAGAAAAAACCAUUAUCCAGAAUCCCACAGACCAGCAGAAGAAGGACCAUGAAAAAGCUGAAUUUGACAUACAUAAAGUGUAUGCUGUGGAUGUUCUUGUCAGCUCAGGAGAGGGCAAGCCCAAGGAUGCAGGACAGAGAACCACUAUUUACAAACAAGACCCUUCUAAACAGUAUGGACUGAAAAUGAAAACUUCACGUGCCUUCUUCAGUGAGGUGGAAACGCGUUUUGAUGCCAUGCCGUUUACUUUAAGAGCAUUUGAAGAUGAGAAGAAGGCUCAGAUGGGUGUGGUGGAGUGCGCCAAACAUGAACUGCUGCAACCAUUUAAUGUUCUCUAUGAGAAGGAGGGUGAAUUUGUUGCCCAGUUUAAAUUUACAGUUCUGCUCAUGCCCAGUGGCCCCAUGCGGAUAACCAGUGGUCCCUUCGAGCCUGACCUCUGCAAGUCUGAGAUGGAGGUCCAGGAUGCAGAGCUAAAGGCCCUCCUCCAGAGUUCUACAAGUCGAAAAACCCAGAAAAAGAAAACAAAGAAGGCCUCCAAGACUGCAGAGAAUG